UACGUAGGGUGCGAGCGUUGUCCGGAUUUAUUGGGCGUAAAGAGCUCGUAGGCGGUUUGUUGCGUCGGCCGUGAAAUCUCCACGCUUAACGUGGAGCGUGCGGUCGAUACGGGCAGACUUGAGUUCGGUAGGGGAGACUGGAAUUCCUGGUGUAGCGGUGAAAUGCGCAGAUAUCAGGAGGAACACCGGUGGCGAAGGCGGUUCUCUGGGCCGAUACUGACGCUGAGGAGCGAAAGCGUGGGGAGCGAACAGG
rnacentral:rRNA from 1 species